UACAGAGGCCACGAGCGUUAGGCGGAAUCACUGGGCUUAAAGCGUGUGUAGGUGGAUGACUAAGUACCUUGUGAAAUCCCACGGCUCACCCGUGGAACUGCUGGGCAUACUGGCGAUCUUGGGCCAACUAGGGGCAACUGGAACAAGCGGUGGAGCGGUGAAAUGCGUAGAUAUCGCUUGGAACGCCAAAGGUGAAAACAGGUUGCUGGGGUUGUGCCGACGCUGAGACACGAAAGCCAGGGGAGCAAACGGG
rnacentral:rRNA from 1 species